rnacentral:misc_RNA from 1 species
UUCAUUUCUGCUUGUAUGGCAACCCAACAACUUGAGUCCAAAUGGGAAGGCAAAUUUAUAGUCAAUCUAAAACAUGCCAAAGCUGAACAAGUAUGGCCACUCCUUGAAGAUUUCUUCAACUUCCACAAAUGGCUACCAAACAUUGACACUUGUCACCAAAUUGAUAGUGAUAAUAAAGAUGAAAUUAUCCGCUACUGCGCUAGCACCACGCCCCUAUCGUCAG